CCUACGGGAGGCAUCAGUGAGGAAUAUUGGUCAAUGGGCGAAAGCCUGAACCAGCCAUGCCGCGUGCAGGAUGAAGGAUCUAUGGUUUGUAAACUGCUUUUAUACCGGGGUAAAGUGAUGAACGAGUUGGGUUUUGUAUGUACCGUAUGAAUAAGCAUCGGCUAACUCCGUGCCAGCAGCCGCGGUAAUACGGAGGAUGCGAGCGUUAUCCGGAUUUAUUGGGUUUAAAGGGUGCGUAGGUGGUUAAUUAAGUUAGCGGUGAAAGUUUGUUGCUCAACCAUAGAAUUGCCGUUGAAACUGGUGGACUUGAGAACAUUUGAGGCAGGCGGAAUGCGUGGUGUAGCGGUGAAAUGCAUAGAUAUUACGCAGAACACCGAUUGCGAAGGCAGCUUACUAAGCUAUAACUGACACUGAAGCACGAAAGCGUGGGGAUCAAACAGGAUUAGAUACCCUGGUAGUC
rnacentral:rRNA from 1 species